rnacentral:rRNA from 1 species
CCUACGGGAGGCAGCAGUGAGGAAUAUUGGUCAAUGGACGAGAGUCUGAACCAGCCAAGUAGCGUGAAGGAUGACUGCCCUAUGGGUUGUAAACUUCUUUUAUAAAGGAAUAAAACGAGGCACGUGUGCCUUUUUGCAUGUACUUUAUGAAUAAGGAUCGGCUAACUCCGUGCCAGCAGCCGCGGUAAUACGGAGGAUCCGAGCGUUAUCCGGAUUUGUUGGGUUUAAAGGGAGCGUAGAUGGGUUGUUAAGUCAGUUGUGAAAGUUUGCGGCUCAACCGUAAAAUUGCAAUUGAUAGUAGCAGUCUUGAGUACAGUUGAGGUAGGCGGAAUUCGUGGUGUAGCGGUGAAAUGCUUAGAUAUCACGAAGAACCCCGAUUGCGAAGGCAGCUUACUAAACUGCCACUGACAUUGAUGCUCGAAAGUGUGUGUAUCAAACAGGAUUAGAUACCCGAGUAGUC